rnacentral:rRNA from 1 species
UUAGCAUGGAAUAAUGGAAUAGGACUUUUGUUCUAUUUUGUUGGUUUCUAGGACCGCCGUAAUGAUUAAUAGGGACAGUUGGGGGCAUCAGUAUUCAAUUGUCAGAGGUGAAAUUCUUGGAUUUAUUGAAGACUAACUACUGCGAAAGCAUUUGCCAAGGAUGUUUUCAUUAAUCAGGAACGAAAGUUAGGGGAUCGAAGACGAUCAGAUACCGUCGUAGUCUUAACCAUAAACUAUGCCGACUAGGGAUCGGACGGUGUUAUUUUUUGACCCGUUCGGCACCUUACGAGAAAUCAAAGUGCUUGGGCUCCAGGGGGAGUAUGGUCGCAAGGCUGAAACUCAAAGAAAUUGACGGAAGGGCACCACCAGGGGUGGAGCCUGCGGCUUAAUUUGACUCAACACGGGGAAACUCACCAGGUCCAGACACAAUGAGGAUUGACAGAUUGAGAGCUCUUUCUUGAUUUUGUGGGUGGUGGUGCAUGGCCGUUCUUAGUUGGUGGAGUGAUUUGUCUGCUUAAUUGCGAUAACGAACGAGACCUUAACCUGCUAAAUAGCCCGUAUUGCUUUGGCAGUACGCUGGCUUCUUAGAGGGACUAUCGGCUCAAGCCGAUGGAAGUUUGAGGCAAUAACAGGUCUGUGAUGCCCUUAGAUGUUCUGGGCCGCACGCGCGUUACACUGACGGGGCCAGCGAGUCUUUCCUUGACCGAAAGGUCCGGGUAAUCUUGUGAAACCCCGUCGUGCUGGGGAUAGAGCAUUGCAAU